UUCCCAUUUUAAUUGCAGAGUGGGAUGAAACAGAUGAAAUUUGGUAUUAUUAUAUCAACAGCUACAAAAAUAUACAAAAUCUUCUGCAGACCAAUUUUUAAUAUAAACACAUUAUACAGAACUGAACUAGUGCCAAUAAGGAAAAGACUGCAAAAAUUUCCAAGGAAACUUCUAAAGGCUACACAACAUAGAACUAAAGUGACCAUUGAUGCGAAUAUGAUAGAAGUUGUUUAUUAUUAUUAUAUUUAUUUGUAGGUUGAUCAAUUAAUGUGAUUUGAUAAUAUGAAAGAGAAGUUUGUAUGAUGAGAUUGAAUUGAAAGUGCCCUUUUGUUACUAUGAAUAAGUAUUCAAAUUAAAGCUUCUUAUAAUUAUUUUAUGUGAAUUGAGAAAUUUAUUGUUUGUAAUAAUGGAUUGAACUUUAAGAAAUUACAUUAAAAUAUCUAGAAAUCGAUUUUUAAAAGUACUACUAGCUUGUUUCAUAUUAAGAUUAGUUUGACAUUUCACCUUGAUAAUAAUUUCAAACUUUAAAUCAAUGUGUUAUGUGAAGGAUCAGGGCAAGAAAAAGAUUAUUUCAGAUUGUAGCAUCCCUUAUACUAUUAUAUAUAGAUCAUUCAGAAACCACUCAUGAAUCUCAAAAAAGAUUUCUCUUGGGGUUUCAAUACAGAAGGGUAAUAUCAUUUAGUGAUUAUGGUUAACACUCGGACAAUAAUAAGUAUAUGAUUGAUAAAAAAAUUGGAGGACCAAUUUUGUCACUUGUAUCAUAAUAAAUAUGAAUUAAAUAUU